AUUGAACGCUGGCGGCAGGCCUAACACAUGCAAGUCGAGCGAGCGGCGGACGGGUGAGUAAUGUAUGGGAAACUGCCUGAUGGCGGGGGAUAACUACUGGAAACGGUAGCUAAUACCGCAUACCAUCAGAUGAACCCAGAUGGGAUUAGCUAGUAGGUGGGGUAACGGCUCACCUAGGCGACGAUCCCUAGCUGGUCUGAGAGGAUGAACAGCCACACUGGGACUGAGACACGGUCCAGACUCCGACGGGAGGCAGCAGUGGGGAAUAUUGCACAAUGGGCGCAAGCCUGAUGCAGCCAUGCCGCGUGUGUGAAGAAGGCCUUCGGGUUGUAAAGUACUUUCAGCGAGGAGGCGUUACCCGCAGAAGAAGCACCGGCUAACUCCGUGCCAGCAGCCGCGGUAAUUC
rnacentral:rRNA from 1 species